CUUUCCUGGUAUCAACUGGCUUAGGUUGGAUUCUCCAGGAACAGAGCCUGUGAUGGAGAUUUUUGUGAAAAUGAUCUACUAAAAGGGCACUUUCAAAAUAAGGGGAAUAAAGAAGGUGCAAUGGGACAGUAGAUGAAAGAUGAGCAAUGAAGUGUUUUUGCUUUGUGAAUGAUGUCAGCCUGGUCUUACAAGGAGCUCUAAAAUAUCGGUUGAACCACAGAAUUUGUCUAAUAUUGAGGCAAGAGGACAGCAUUUUGCAUCUCAGAUUCAGCAAGUCAUUUGCCACUGGUUCCCCCAAGAGUAGGAAAAGAGAAGUAGGUACAGCUAGGUGAAGUGAAGGUCAAAGUGGAGAGUUCUUGCUUUUAUCCUUCAGGAACUUACUGAGCAUCUGAUUCUGAUACCAUCUAUCAUCUAUCAGUACUACAGAACUAUCUCUUCUGAAGUUCAUCCACAUCCAAAUGCAUACUCUGUGUAAUAACGAGUUUACCACUGAAAAUAUGAGAGGAAUGGACAUCAAUAUCCCUUAGUUCCUGCCGCAGAAGAAAAGGGAGA